ensembl:lncRNA
ACACAAUGGGUUUGGUUUACUUUUCGCAUCGGCCUGUGUCAAUUGAGGUUGAGUUUAGUGAGGGUUGAAAGUUUUCGAUUUAGAUUGCAGAUCACUAUUGUCACUUUAUACAAACUGAAAGUAUGUGUUGUUGCGUGUUUGUUUUUGUGGGCAUUUGACUGAACAGCCCAGACAAAUAUUGCUACCAACAUGGCACUUGGAAACAGACCACCGCAGUGUUAGAUGACUGACAAGAUCUAUGGGGGGGCCCCCUUUGGGCCCCCCCAUACUAACUUAGUCUUCAAAGGAAUCUAGUGCCAUGGGACUCCAGUGUCUUCAAAACAUCCUCAGAAUACAUGUGUAUGAAUGGUCCACCGAAGGGUUGAUCUGGAAGCCACCACGGUCCACGCAGUAAUCUGCUGCGUGGGCCGUAGUGGCUUCCAGAGCCAUCUUUCGGUCUAGGUCAGGUACAGUAACGGUUGCCCUUCAAUGUAGCAGGCUACCGGUUUCUGAGGAAGCCUGCUUUACGUAGCAUUGGAGUACAAAUAUUGUGCAAAAUGCUCAUGUAAUUGCACUAGCACUGGUAACCUGUAGAUUAGCUUAGUUUAAUGUCAUUCGGUGCUGUCUGUCAAAUGUGUGGCUUACUUUAAGUCCACAAGGCCCUCUGGUAAACCACGUUGGAACACCCCUGGACAAGGUGAUUAGUCACUGGGUGUGUGCUAAAGUUUUGUUCCAUUUUUCACUAGUUGGUUAAGGUUUGGUAGAAUUGUUUGGAUGCUAGCGACGUGAUGGCGUAUGUACAAGAGCCUACCGUGGCCAGGCCACAGUUGCGACGGCCACGGCCAGAUGGCCUAGUGUGAGUGCAACCUUGAUUGCAUUUGUAUACUGUUUACCAUUGGAUGUAUAUGCAAUUUGGCUUAAUUCAUCCGCUGUAAAGCUGCAUUUGACUAUUCCAGGGUCGUUUUGUACAGGCUUUCAAUUGAGCUAGUUGACUAGUUUGUGGGAAAUGUUUUUUUUUUUUGUUUUUUUUACCCUUGCUUACAAUCCAACGGUUGCGACCACUUAUGCAACUGGGCUGUGAACCUUGCAAUUCUAGUUGCAUAUUUGUACACGCAAGCUUGUCCAUUUCUAUCGCCAUCACUAACACUAGCUUCAGCAUUUCCUUGUAGGCCAUUAGCUGACUUGUGUAUUGGAGCGAUGAUUUGGGUAUUUUAAGGUGCUUGAAAACCUAAAAUAAAGCAAAAUGCGUGUCUGGUGUGCAAGAGCCAAUUUGUUGGCUUGCAGUAGUCGAGGAGUUGCCGUAGGUCGUAAGCCAUCUUGAGGUUGUGGCAAUGGAGGCUUGUGGUAGAUCUGCCAUCCAAGAAAGGUUAAUUCUUCUGAAGCAUGAUUAAUAGUUUAGUAAAUUGAAUCUAUUCAUAUAGAACUAUAAAAUCCAAGACUGCAGCCAGUAACUUGGAUCGCAAUAUGUGGCAAGUAUUGGUCUUCAUUUGUAACAACAGAAUAAUUAACAUGACUAACUGGGUUUCUUCCAUUUUCUAACUAGGGGGACUUGACUGGUGAGUCUACUGGAUUAAUCAGUAGCGGUACUUUGCCCAACAUAUUUGAUGGCAUGACUACAGGGUGACAAAGACAAUUAUUCCCUGCCUAUCAAAAGAGACUUCUAAAACAUAUCUGCUAGAACAGUUCCUAUACUUUUUGUAUAAUUUGGUCAUGCUGCAAAUUUACUUUUUGUAGUUGCUCCAUAUUUAGUUCUUUGACAGCCUCGCCUGCUAGAAAAGUCUAUUCAAAUCGGCUAAAUAUUAUGAACUAAAUUAAUAGCCAUGAAAUGUUGUCACUCAUACUAAUGGCAAAUACCCCCUUUCAGUUGGUGGUUCAACACUGAUGUCUCUCUAGGCUUGAGGGAGAGCGCACAAGUAAAUUACACGAAUGUCCUGGAGCAAUUGGGAACACACUUUUAUUUAGUCUACCUGACCAGGGACAUCUUUGAACUAUAGGUCACCUAACCCAAACUUUUCACUCUUGUUAGGUUGUCCUUUUCUCUUGUUUUAACCCGAAAGGGCUGAAAAUAUCAACAUUUCGGGUAUUCUGUUUGGAUAAUGUGCAAAACUUGUGGCUUCACUAAUAAAAAAAAUUAACGGAUUUAUUUUUCUUAAUGUGGUUAAACUAGAUUUGUAUGCAAAAUAUUUCUGCUCAAUUUGUGGUCAAUGAAACUCAAUUUUUUUAAUUUGAUAAAACACAACUAUGGGUUAAAGGUAUUUGCUUUGGGCAUCUUUUGAAAUUUUUAGAAUCUAGCUCCAUUGCCGUUAGAAAUGGUGUCUCCCAGUACUGCAAAGUGCUUCCACAAGUUUAAAAAAGAAUGGGCAGAAAAGGAACUGCCAACUAAAUCUAUUUAACAUGGGUAGAAAGUUUCCAUGGAAGCUCUUGGCUGCUGGUUCCCAACACAGCUCCACUGUUAGCCUGUGAACUUGUGUUUAACUUUUUGGAACUUUUGGUGACUUUCACAAAAGAGAAAUGAACUGGUUAAUACAAUAAACAAGACAUUUGAAACUUCAGCUACAUUUUUAUCUAUUUGUACUGCCUUUGAUUUCAACCCCUGACAUGUUUGUCAGGUGAUAACUAUGUACCUGUGACCGCAUAUCAUGCCAUUUUGAACUGUUUGUGGAUAUUGCAUUAAAUCCAUAUGCUUGAAACUUUUCAAUAAUGCAUAUCAACAAACAAUGGAAUGAAAUAAAUGGUUCAAGCAAUUUGUGGG